CGCGUAGGUGGUCGUUUAAGUCUGUUGUGAAAGCCCUGGGCUCAACCUGGGAACUGCAGUGGAAACUGGACGACUAGAGUGUGGUAGAGGGUAGCGGAAUUCCUGGUGUAGCAGUGAAAUGCGUAGAGAUCGGGAAGAACACCAAUGGCGAAAGCACUCUGCUGGGCCGAAACUGACACUCAGAGACGAAAGCUAGGGGAGCGAAUG
rnacentral:rRNA from 1 species